GAUGAACGCUGGCGGCGUGCUUAACACAUGCAAGUCGAACGGAAAGGCUCCUGCUUGCAGGGGUACUCGAGUGGCGAACGGGUGAGUAACACGUGGGUGAUCUGCCCUGCACUUCGGGAUAAGCCUGGGAAACUGGGUCUAAUACCGGAUAGGACGAUGGUUUGGAUGCCAUUGUGGAAAGUUUUUCGGUGUGGGAUGAGCUCGCGGCCUAUCAGCUUGUUGGUGGGGUAAUGGCCUACCAAGGCGUCGACGGGUAGCCGGCCUGAGAGGGUGAACGGCCACAUUGGGACUGAGAUACGGCCCAGACUCCUACGGGAGGCAGCAGUGGGGAAUAUUGCACAAUGGGCGCAAGCCUGAUGCAGCGACGCCGCGUGGGGGAUGACGGCCUUCGGGUUGUAAACUCCUUUCGCUAGGGACGAAGCGCAAGUGACGGUACCUGGAGAAGAAGCACCGGCUAACUACGUG
rnacentral:rRNA from 1 species